rnacentral:rRNA from 1 species
CCUACGGGUGGCAGCAGUGAGGAAUAUUGGUCAAUGGACGAGAGUCUGAACCAGCCAAGUAGCGUGAAGGAUGACUGCCCUAUGGGUUGUAAACUUCUUUUAUAGGGGAAUAAAAUGUUCCACGUGUGGGAUUUUGUAUGUACCAUAUGAAUAAGGAUCGGCUAACUCCGUGCCAGCAGCCGCGGUAAUACGGAGGAUCCGAGCGUUAUCCGGAUUUAUUGGGUUUAAAGGGAGCGUAGUGGGAUUGUUAAGUCAGUUGUGAAAGUUUGCGGCUCAACCGUAAAAUUGCAGUUGAAACUGGCAGUCUUGAGUACAGUAGAGGUGGGCGGAAUUCGUGGUGUAGCGGUGAAAUGCUUAGAUAUCACGAAGAACUCCGAUUGCGAAGGCAGUUCACUGGACUGCAACUGACACUGAGGCUCGAAAGUGUGGGUAUCAAACAGGAUUAGAUACCCUUGUAGUC